AAUAACACAAGGUUCACUUUUUUUUGUUUAGUCAAUAAUAAAAUUUGGUGGUGAAUUUAGAAAAUACAUUAUUACGUAUGAAAAUUCGUGAAAAAGGCUUUAUUUUGUUUUUACUUUUUUUUUUUAAAGCAAGAUUAUUUAGUUUCCACCGAAGAAGAAAGAGUUAAAACCAAAAAGGUAGGUUCAAGUGGGAUUCACACACAUUACAAGAUUCAAUGGAUUUUAUCAAAGAUUAUAUGAAUAUCCGAAACAGAGAAGCAGAAGCAGAAGCAGUAGCAAUUAUUUUGUUGUAAGUAGACAAGUACACGUGGUUAAGAAUGAUUGGAAGCUAUAAUAUUAUGUAAAAAUUGACAGAUCCUUAAAAGAGCUAAAGCCAUCAAAGAUUC
rnacentral:lncRNA from 1 species